rnacentral:rRNA from 1 species
GAUGAACGCUGGCGGCGUGCCUAAUACAUGCAAGUCGAGCGAACAGACGAGGAGCUUGCUCCUCUGACGUUAGCGGCGGACGGGUGAGUAACACGUGGAUAACCUACCUAUAAGACUGGGAUAACUUCGGGAAACCGGAGCUAAUACCGGAUAAUAUAUUGAACCGCAUGGUUCAAUAGUAAAAGUCGGUUUUGCUGGCAAUUAUAGAUGGAUCCGCGCCGCAUUACCUAGUUGGUAAGGUAACGGCUUACCAAGGCAACGAUGCGUAGCCGACCUGAGAGGGUGAUAGGCCACACUGGAACUGAGACCCGGUCCAGACUCCUACGGGAGGCAGCAGUAGGGAAUCUUCCGAAAAGGGCGAAAGCCUGACGGAGAAAAGCCGCGUGAGUGAUGAAGGUCUUCGGAUCGUAAAACUCUGUUAUUAGGGAAGAACAAAAGUGUAAGUAACUAUGCACGUCUUGACGGUAACUAAUCAGAAAGCCACGGCUAACUACGUG